rnacentral:rRNA from 1 species
UUGAGUGGCGGACGGGUGAGUAACGCGUGGGUAACCUGCCUCACACUGGGGGAGUAACAGUUAGAAAUAGCUGCUAAUACCGCAUAAGCGCACGGUUCCGCAUGGAACAGUGUGAAAAACUCCGGUGGUGUGAGAUGGACCCGCGUCUGAUUAGGUAGUUGGUGGGGUAACGGCCUACCAAGCCGACGAUCAGUAGCCGACCUGAGAGGGUGACCGGCCACAUUGGGACUGAGACACGGCCCAAACUCCUACGGGAGGCAGCAUG